ACUUACCUGGCAGGGGAGAUACCAUGAUCACGAAGGUGGUUUUCCCAGGGCGAGGCUUAUCCAUUGCACUCCGGAUGUGCUGACCCCUGCGAUUUCCCCAAAUGUGGGAAACUCGACUGCAUAAUUUGUGGUAGUGGGGGACUGCGUUCGCGCUUUCCCCUG
rnacentral:snRNA from 2 species